rnacentral:rRNA from 1 species
UACGUAGGUGGCAAGCGUUAUCCGGAAUUAGUGGGCGUAAAGCGCGCGUAGGCGGUUUUUUAAGUCUGAUGUGAAAGCCCACGGCUCAACCGUGGAGGGUCAUUGGAAACUGGAAAACUUGAGUGCAGAAGAGGAAAGUGGAAUUCCAUGUGUAGCGGUGAAAUGCGCAGAGAUAUGGAGGAACACCAGUGGCGAAGGCGACUUUCUGGUCUGUAACUGACGCUGAUGUGCGAAAGCGUGGGGAUCAAACAGGAUUAGAUAC